UAUAAAUAUAUAUUUAUCAUCUCUACUAAUUCUAUAGGCACGAGGAAAAUUUAAGUCUCUGAAUUGUCAGCUCUACGACCCAAAGUUAGGUAACUUUAGUAAAUGCGAAAUAAAGGCUGUCAGUAGAACCAAGAAUAUUAUAAACGUUAACUUUGAUAUAUUUGACACUAUCAGAACUGCUACGUACAUCCACAUUUCAGAUUGAAGUUGGGCUCUUUAAACGUGAAAAUGGCUGGCAUCCCUAUCUUUAUUCUUUUAGCAUUGAUGCUUGUAAAUUCAUAAAGAAACCAUAUAAUGUAGUUGCGAUAUUAGGUUUCGAGUAUAUUAAACCCUAUUCAAAUCUUAAUCACACCUGCCCUUAUAUGGCUGGCACAUCCUUAAUUGUUAAAGGCUUUCAAGUGGAUAUAGAUCAAUUUCGAGUUCGUUUUCCGGUUCCCAAUGGAGAAUACGGAUUAAGACUAUCCAUUUUUAGAAACAAAAUCUUGAAGGCAACUAUUAAUGGAUCUGUUUAUUAUUUCGAUUAUAAGAAUCAAUGAAGCCUAUGGGAAUAAUUUGCAAAUGGAAAUCUGUAGAUUGUCAAAAUAAUUGUUAAAUUUUAUUAAUAAUAUUCAAAUUUACUAUCAACAAAACAUCAGAUACAUUAUAAGAAUAAUACCACAAUAAUUACAAAAAUCAUCCAAUAAUUUUUACCGUUGGGAAACCGAAUUGCAAAUCUCAAAAAUCAUCAAAUUCCAACG